AUAGUACUCCCUCUCUCUGGAAAUACUUGUCUGAGGAAUGGAUGUAUCUAGAUGUAUUUUAGUUUUAAAUACAUCCAUUUGUAUCCAUUUCCACGACAGGUAUUUCCGGACGGAGGGAGUAUCAC
rfam:Triticum urartu cultivar G1812 contig601601, whole genome shotgun sequence.